rnacentral:rRNA from 1 species
AUUGAACGCUGGCGGCAGGCUUAACACAUGCAAGUCGAAAGAGCGGCGGACGGGUGAGUAAUGCUUGGGAAUCUAGCUUAUGGAGGGGGAUAACUACGGGAAACUGUAGCUAAUACCGCGUACCAUAGGAUGAGCCCAAGGGGGAUUAGGUAGUUGGUGCGGUAAAGGCUCACCAAGCCGACGAUCUCUAGCUGGUCUGAGAGGAUGACCAGCCACACUGGGACUGAGACACGGCCCAGGUUCCUACGUGAGGCAGCAGUGGGGAAUAUUGCGCAAUGGGGGCAACCUGACGCAGCCAUGCCGCGUGAAUGAAGAAGGCCUUCGGGUUGUAAAGUUCUUUCGGUAGCGAGGCGUUAACUACAGAAGAAGCACCGGGUAACUCCGUGCCAGCCGCCGCGUAAUUC